GGCGUCCUACGGGGGGCAGCAGUGAGGAAUAUUGGUCAAUGGAGGAAACUCUGACGCAGUGACGCCGCGUAUAGGAAGAAGGUUUUCGGAUUGUAAACUAUUGUCGUUAGGGAGGAUAAAAGACUGUACCUAAGGAGGAAGCCCCGGCUAACUAUGUGCCAGCAGCCGCGGUAAUACAUAGGGGGCAAGCGUUAUCCGGAAUUAUUGGGUGUAAAGGGUGCGUAGACGGAAGAACAAGUUGGUUGUGAAAUCCCUCGGCUCAACUGAGGAACUGCAACCAAAACUAUUCUCCUUGAGUGUCGGAG
rnacentral:rRNA from 1 species